rnacentral:tRNA from 1 species
UUUGGUUGUAGCUCAGUGAUAGAGCGCUUGCCUAGCACGUGUGAAGCACUGGGUUCGAUCCUCAGAACUACAG